AGUGAACGCUGGCGGCAGGCCUAACACAUGCAAGUCGAGCGGCAGCGGGUCCUUCGGGAUGCCGGCGAGCGGCGGACGGGUGAGGAAUACAUCGGAAUCUGCCCUGUCGUGGGGGAUAACCUAGGGAAACUUAGGCUAAUACCGCAUACGACCUACGGGUGAAAGCGGGGGAUCGCAAGACCUCGCGCGACAGGAUGAGCCGAUGUCCGAUUAGCUAGUUGGCGGGGUAAAGGCUCACCAAGGCGACGAUCGGUAGCUGGUCUGAGAGGAUGAUCAGCCACACUGGGACUGAGACACGGCCCAGACUCCUACGGGAGGCAGCAGUGGGGAAUAUUGGACAAUGGGCGCAAGCCUGAUCCAGCCAUGCCGCGUGGGUGAAGAAGGCCUUCGGGUUGUAAAGCCCUUUUGUCCGGGAAGAAAUCGUCUGGGCUAAUACCCCGGGCGGAUGACGGUACCGGAAGAAUAAGCACCGGCUAACUUCGUG
rnacentral:rRNA from 1 species